AUUGAACGCUGGCGGCAGGCCUAACACAUGCAAGUCGAGCGAGCGGCGGACGGGUGAGUAAUGUCUGGGAAACUGCCUGAUGGAGGGGGAUAACUACUGGAAACGGUAGCUAAUACCGCAUCCCAUCAGAUUAGCCCAGAUGGGAUUAGCUAGUAGGUGGGGUAACGGCUCACCUAGGCGACGAUCCCUAGCUGGUCUGCGAGGAUGACCAGCGACACUGGAAGUGAGACACGGUCCAGACUCCUAAGGGAGGCAGCAGUGGGGAAUAUUGCUCAAUGGGCGCGAGCCUGAUGCAGCCAUGCCGCGUGUGUGAACAAGGCCUUCGGGUCGUAAAGCACUUUCAGCGGUGAGGCGUUACUCGCAGAAGAAGCACCGGCCAACUCCGUGCCAGCAGCCGCUGUAAUUC
rnacentral:rRNA from 1 species